rnacentral:rRNA from 1 species
GGGGAAUUUUACGCAAUGGGCGAAAGCCUGACGUAGCGACACCGCGUGAGCGACGAAGCCCUUUGGGGUGUAAAGCCCUGUCAGCUGGAACGAAAACAAUGACGGUACCAGCAGAGGAAGCAUCGGCUCACUACGUGCCAGCAGCCGCGGUAAGACGUAGGAUGCAAGCGUUGUCCGGAUUUAUUGGGCGUAAAGAGUUCGUAGGCGGUUCGUUACGUCUGAUGUUAAAGAUCGGGGCUCAACCCCGGGAGUGCAUUGGAUACUGGCGGACUGGAGUGUGGUAGAGGCUAGUGGAAUUCCCAGUGUAGCGGUGAAAUGCGUAGAUAUUGGGAAGAACACCAGUGGCGUAGGCGACUAGCUGGGCCAUAACUGACGCUGAGGAACGAAAGCCAGGGGAGCGAAUG